AGCAGCCGCGGUAAUUCCAGCUCCAAUAGCGUAUAUUAAAGUUGUUGCAGUUAAAAAGCUCGUAGUUGAAUUUCGGGGUCAAGUCGUCGGUCGUGCCUCGGUACGCACUGGUGACAUUGGUUUCUCCCUUCUGAAGAACCUUGAUGUCAUUAAUUUGGUGUCUUGGGGAAUCAGGACUAUUACUUUGAAAAAAUUAGAGUGUUUAAAGCAAGCUCACGCUUGAAUACAUUAGCAUGGAAUAAUGAAAUAGGACGUUUGAUUCUAUUUUGUUGGUUUCUAGGAUCGACGUAAUGAUUAAUAGGGAUAGUUGGGGGCAUUAGUAUUCAAUUGUCAGAGGUGAAAUUCUUGGAUUUAUUGAAGACUAACUACUGCGAAAGCAUUUGCCAAGGAUGUUUUCAUUAAUCAAGAACGAAAGUUAGGGGAUCGAAGACGAUCAGAUACCGUCGUAGUCUUAACCAUAAACUAUGCCGACUAGGGAUCGGAUGAUGUUAAUUUUUAAUGACUCAUUCGGCGCCUUACG
rnacentral:rRNA from 1 species